rnacentral:rRNA from 1 species
UACGUAGGGUGCAAGCGUUAAUCGGAAUUACUGGGCGUAAAGCGUGCGCAGGCGGCUAUGCAAGACAGAUGUGAAAUCCCCGGGCUCAACCUGGGAACUGCAUUUGUGACUGCAUGGCUAGAGUACGGCAGAGGGGGAUGGAAUUCCGCGUGUAGCAGUGAAAUGCAUAGAUAUGCGGAGGAACACCGAUGGCGAAGGCAAUCCCCUGGGCCUGUACUGACGCUCAUGCACGAAAGCGUGGGGAGCAAACAGG